AGAGUUUGAUCCUGGCUCAGGAUGAACGCUGGCGGCGUGCCUAAUACAUGCAAGUAGAACGCUGAAGGAAGGAGCUUGCUCUUUCCGGAAGAGUUGCGAACGGGUGAGUAACGCGUAGGUAACCUACCUUUUAGCGGGGGAUAACUAUUGGAAACGAUAGCUAAUACCGCAUAAGACAUUUUACUGCAUGGUAAGAUGUUAAAAGAUGCAAAUGCAUCACUAAGAGAUGGACCUGCGUUGUAUUAGCUAGUAGGUGAGGUAACGGCUCACCUAGGCGACGAUACAUAGCCGACCUGAGAGGGUGAUCGGCCACACUGGGACUGAGACACGGCCCAGACUCCUACGGGAGGCAGCAGUAGGGAAUCUUCGGCAAUGGACGAAAGUCUGACCGAGCAACGCCGCGUGAGUGAAGAAGGUUUUCGGAUCGUAAAGCUCUGUUGUAAGAGAAGAACGAGUGUGAGAGUGGAAAGUUCACACUGUGACGGUAUCUUACCAGAAAGGGACGGCUAACUACGUGCCAGCAGCCGCGGU
rnacentral:rRNA from 1 species